AACUCGGGGGCUCACGCCUUACGAGAUUGCAAUGAGAACAAUUUAAAACACUUAACGAGGAACAAUUGGAGGGCAAGUCUGGUGCCAGCAGCCGCGGUAAUUCCAGCUCCAAUAGCGUACGUUAAAGUUGUUGCAGUUAAAAAGCUCGUGGUUGAACUUCUGGCGGUUGUAUACGCUGGCUUCGGUCGUGUAUAUGGCAGUCAUCCGCUUGGGAACCUCGUUCGGUCUUCAUUGGUCGGCGGGAGGAUCAGGCAUUUUACUUUGAAAAAAUUAGAGUGUUCAAGGCAGGCAAUCGCCCUGAAUACACAAGCAUGGAAUAAUGGAAUAGGUUUAAAAGUCAUUUUAUUGGUUAUUGACUCUUAAAAAUGAUUAAAAGGAUCAGCUGGGGACAUUCAUAUUUAAUUGUCAGAGGUGAAAUUCUUGGAUUUAUUAAAGAUGAACAUAUGCGAAAGCAUUUGUCAAGGAUGUUUUCAUUAAUCAAGAACGAAAGUUAGGGGAUCAAAGACGAUCAGAUACCGUCCUAGUCUUAACUAUAAACUAUACCGACUAGGGAUUGGCAGGGUUUUUCGAGCCUUGUCAGCACCUUAUGAGAAAUCAAAGUCUUUGGGUUCUGGGGGGAGUAUGGUCGCAAGGCUGAAACUUAAAGGAAUUGACGGAAGGGCACCACCAGGAGUGGAGCCUGCGGCUUAAUUUGACCCAACACGGGGAAACUUACCAGGUCAAGACAUGGGUGGGAUUGACAGAUUGAGAGCUCUUUCUUGAUACUAUGGGUGGUGGUGCAUGGCCGUUCUUAGUUGGUGGAGUGAUUUGUCUGGUUAAUUCCGUUAACGAACGAGACCUUAACCUGCUAACUAGUCGCAGUAUGAAAUAUGCUGUUGACUUCUUAGAGGGACUAUACGUUCAAGCGUAUGGAAGUUUGAGGCAAUAACAGGUCAGUGAUGCCCUUAGAUGUCCUGGGCCGCACGCGCGCUACACUGAUGCAUGCAACGAGUACAACCUGGUCCGAAAGGACUCGGGUAAUCUUUAUAGUAUGCAUCGUGCUGGGGAUUGAUCUUUGCAAUUAUAGAUCUUGAACGAGGAAUUCCUAGUAAGCAUAAGUCAUCAACUUGUGCUGAUUACGUCCCUGCCCUUUGUACACACCGCCCGUCGCUCCUACCGAUUGAAUGGUUCGGUGAAUUACCUGGACUGAAUCAGUCUUCAAGGCUGAUACGUGAAGUUUUGUUAACCAUAUCAUUUAGAGGAAGGAGAAGUCGUA
rnacentral:rRNA from 1 species